rnacentral:rRNA from 1 species
AUUGAACGCUGGCGGCAUGCCUUACACAUGCAAGUCGAACGGCAGCACGGGAGCUUGCUCCUGGUGGCGAGUGGCGAACGGGUGAGUAAUACAUCGGAACGUACCCUGAAGUGGGGGAUAACGUAGCGAAAGUUACGCUAAUACCGCAUAUUCUGUGAGCAGGAAAGAGGGGGAUCGCAAGACCUCUUGCUUUAGGAGCGGCCGAUGUCGGAUUAGCUAGUUGGUGAGGUAAAGGCUCACCAAGGCGACGAUCCGUAGCGGGUCUGAGAGGAUGAUCCGCCACACUGGGACUGAGACACGGCCCAGACUCCUACGGGAGGCAGCAGUGGGGAAUUUUGGACAAUGGCGCAAGCCUGAUCCAGCCAUGCCGCGUGAGUGAA